GACUCCUACGGGAGGCAGCAGUGGGGAAUAUUGCACAAUGGGGGAAACCCUGAUGCAGCCAUGCCGCGUGUGUGAAGAAGGCCUUCGGGUUGUAAAGCACUUUCAGCGAGGAGGAAAGGGUGUAAGUUAAUACCUUACAUCUGUGACGUUACUCGCAGAAGAAGCACCGGCUAACUCCGUGCCAGCAGCCGCGGUAAUACGGAGGGUGCGAGCGUUAAUCGGAAUUACUGGGCGUAAAGCGUGCGCAGGCGGUUUGUUAAGCGAGAUGUGAAAGCCCCGGGCUCAACCUGGGAACCGCAUUUCGAACUGGCAAACUAGAGUCUUGUAGAGGGGGGUAGAAUUCCAGGUGUAGCGGUGAAAUGCGUAGAGAUCUGGAGGAAUACCGGUGGCGAAGGCGGCCCCCUGGACAAAGACUGACGCUCAGGCACGAAAGCGUGGGGAGCAAACAGGAUUAGAUACCCUGGUAGUCCACGCCGUAAACGAUGUCUACUCGGAGUUUGGUGUCUUGAACACUGGGCUCUCAAGCUAACGCAUUAAGUAGACCGCCUGGGGAGUACGGCCGCAAGGUUAAAACUCAAAUGAAUUGACGGGGGCCCGCACAAGCGGUGGAGCAUGUGGUUUAAUUCGAUGCAACGCGAAGAACCUUACCUACUCUUGACAUCCACAG
rnacentral:rRNA from 1 species